AUGAACAAAUGCAAGGAAGUAAAUGAAGAGGAAGCGGGGGUCAGAAGGGGCAUGUUUUACAUGAAUAGAUACCAUGCAAAGGCCCUCCUGGGUACCAUCACCAGUGCAGGGCAGCCCGUGAGCCCCUGGAGGGAGGUCUCCCUGACACCCUGCCCACUCCUCCUGGGGCCGAGCAGGAGUCACAUCCAAGGGCUGGGUCAUUAUCUGAUACAUGAGUGGGUUGUGCGGAUGAGUAAACAGGGACUGACCCAGAGGUCAGGUGUAACUCAGCCUCAGAAACUGCAUGUGUCAAUAGGAAUCGAAGGGCCAAGGAAUGUGUUUUUCGUUGAUGUCAACUUGCUGCAAAGGACCACACCUGCUUCUCGACCCGGGAACGUGGGAAAGGGAAAGGCACGGCUUGUUUUGGUGGAGAUGGAGGAGCUGGUAACAGUGGAGGAAUGCCCUUCUUCUGAUUCACAGCGGGGAGGUGCUCUGGGCCCCUGCCACUGCCCGAGGACUUCGGGUGAGGUUACCAGGACCGUCAGCCUGAGGAGAAUCAGCUCUUCUGCACCAAAUCCUGAAGAUCACAUGGCAGAGUGAGCUGGAGCGAGGUACCAGCAGACCUCUUAGGUGGGGCAUGCACCCCCUAGUGUCCCAUGUCCCCACUGUUCCCUGUGGCUAUAUCCAUUUCACUUGACUUACUUUUACUCCUUGUCUAGCUCCUUGUGGCAUUGUUCUUUUUCUCUUUUCUUUUUUUUUUUGAGACAGUCUCCCACUGUCACC
rnacentral:lncRNA from 10 species